UACGUAGGGUGCGAGCGUUGUCCGGAAUUACUGGGCGUAAAGAGCUCGUAGGUGGUUUGUCGCGUUGUUCGUGAAAACUCACAGCUUAACUGUGGGCGUGCGGGCGAUACGGGCAGACUGGAGUACUGCAGGGGAGACUGGAAUUCCUGGUGUAGCGGUGGAAUGCGCAGAUAUCAGGAGGAACACCGGUGGCGAAGGCGGUCUGCUGGGCAGUAGCUGACGCUGAGGCGCGACAGCGUGGGGAGCAAACAGG
rnacentral:rRNA from 1 species